AAUACAAAAGGGAUUUGGAGUAUGAAAAAACUCAAAGAGAAGUGUGUUGUCUAUCAGCUUUUUCUUUCGUGAUAUUAACAAGAAUGGAGUUAAAUAACACCACAAACAUU